UACAGAGGUCUCAAGCGUUGUUCGGAUUCAUUGGGCGUAAAGGGUGCGUAGGCGGCGCGGUAAGUCGGGUGUGAAAUCUUGGAGCUUAACUCCGAAACUGCAUUCGAUACUGCCGUGCUUGAGGACUGGAGAGGAGACUGGAAUUUACGGUGUAGCGGUGAAAUGCGUAGAUAUCGGAAGGAACACCAGUGGCGAAAAGCGGCUUCCUGGUCCAGCACCGACGUCAGGCACGAAAGCGUGGGGAGCAAACAGG
rnacentral:rRNA from 1 species